CGUCAAGUAGCUCAGUUGUCUAGAUAGAGCAGUCGCUUGGCAAGCGAAAGACCCUGGUUCUAUUCCCGGUCUAGCGA
rnacentral:tRNA from 1 species